AGAUGGGCAGAUCCUGAUGAGAAGGGUGUGGAGGGAGGAAACAGAGGUUGGGAAACAAAGAGUGAUGGAUGCUCUGGUUUUGAAAGUGCUGGGUCACUGAAUGAGCAUUAUUCAAGGAGAGUUCAGUUCCAGGAUAGAGAUGAACAUUAUACUUUGUGAUCAGUGCAUUAUAAUAUAAAAGCUUAAUUUUUUUUAAUAAAAGGUCAAGGUAAUCACAUAGGAAUAUACAGCUGGGCUGGCUGCUGACCAAGUUGGAGAAAGAGAUAAGCAAUUUUGUGAUAUUUCACCUGACUCUUCUUGAAAAAAGAUUACAACUCAGGCUGUUGCAGUUCCAGCUUGCUUUGUGCUGCAGUUGCCUUGGAAACUCAUCUGGGUACCAUGAGUGGAUGUUCCUCAGCCAGGUUCCACCUAAGCUGCAGAAAUAUGAUUGGUCAAGGGAGCUGGAGGCACC
rnacentral:lncRNA from 12 species